rnacentral:rRNA from 1 species
GUAACACGUAGUCAACCUGCCCUGGAGACAUGGAAAACCCCGGGAAACUGGGAUUAAUCCGUGAUAGGUCACCUCAUCUGGAAGGAGAGAUGGCUUAAAGGGGUGCGAGAGCUUCUUUCUUGCAUUCGCUCCAGGAUGGGACUGCGGCCGAUCAGGCUGUUGGCGGUGUAAUGGACCACCAAACCUGUAACCGGUACGGGCCUUGAGAGAGGGGGCCCGGAGAUGGACACUGAGAGAAGGGUCCAGGUCCUACGGGGCGCAGCAGGCGCGAAACCUUCGCAAUGCGCGAAAGCGUGACGAGGUUAAUCCGAGUGGUCCCCGCUGAGGGGAUCUUUUGUUGGCUGUAAAAAGGCCGAUGAAUAAGGGGAGGGCAAGUCUGGUGUCAGCCGCCGCGGUAAUACCAGCUCCUCGAGUGGUCGGGGCGAUUAUUGGGCCUAAAGCAUCCGUAGCCGGUUCUGUAGGUCCUCCGUGAUAUCCCACGGCUUAACCGCUGGCCCCAAUAGGAUACCGCAGGAGU